GCGGAGGAAAAGAAACCAACAGGGAUUGCCCCAGUAACGGCGAGUGAAGCGGCAACAGCUCAAAUUUGAAAUCUGGUCCCCUUGCGGGGCCCGAGUUGUAAUUUGAAGAGGAUGCUUCUGGCAAGGUGCCUUCCGAGUUCCCUGGAACGGGACGCCGCAGAGGGUGAGAGCCCCGUACGGUAGGACGCCGAGCCUCUGUGAAGCUCCUUCGACGAGUCGAGUAGUUUGGGAAUGCUGCUCAAAAUGGGAGGUAAACCCCUUCUAAAGCUAAAUACCGGCCAGAGACCGAUAGCGCACAAGUAGAGUGAUCGAAAGAUGAAAAGCACUUUGAAAAGAGAGUUAAAAAGCACGUGAAAUUGUUGAAAGGGAAGCGCUUGCGACCAGACUCGCGCCCGUCGGAUCAGCCGUCGCUUGUGGGCGGCGCACUCCGGCGGGCUCGGGCCAGCAUCAGUUCGCCUCGGGGGGAGAAAGGCGGCAGGAAUGUGGCUCCUCGGAGU
rnacentral:rRNA from 1 species